GGCCAUAUCACAUUCAAACACCGGUUCUCUUAUGAUCACCAAAGUUAAGCAACAUCAAGCCUGUUCAGUACCUAGAUGGGUGACUGUUUGGGAAUAUUAGGUGCUGCAA